AGGCUUACAGCUUCGCCAUGGGCUGCUGGCCCAAGAAUGGACUUCUAGACAUGAACAAGGGCCUCAGCCUGCAACACAUAGGCCGGCCCCACAGCGGCAUUGAUGACUGCAAGAACAUUGCCAACAUCAUGAAGACACUUGCAUAUGGAGGCUUCAUCUUCAAGCAGACAUCGAAGCCAUUCUGAUUGGCUGAGGACAGGAUGGGGCAGGACAGAGUAGCUGCUUGCCCAGCCCAGAAUCUUCCUCUCCCUCAUCAGAGGGGAAAAGGAAUAGUGGCCCAGCUCUGCAUCCAGAGUGUCCCCCAGCUGCCCUGCGAGCUUGUGCCCUGGGCAAGGGCUUGGCCACUUGGCCCCUCUGGAGCAGACACUUUGUGCCCCCCAUCCUCACCGACUAUCAGCCCCUUCCGUUGUGGGCCUGGGCCAGGGGGACCCAGGCACUCACCGCCUCCUCCCUGGUGCACAGGCUUCUGCUGGGGCCACCAAUCCCCCCCGUGCCCCCUCCCAUCCAUAGUGCAUGGCGUGUGGUGCCCCCAGGGCUCCAGGACAGAUCAGGCCCCACCUCGUGUCUACCCCCAUCCCCGCUGUGAACGUGCCACUGAAUAAAGUUGGGGAAAUGAGGC